rnacentral:rRNA from 1 species
UACAGAGGGGGCAAGCGUUAUUCGGAAUUAUUGGGCGUAAAGGGCGCGUAGGCGGCCUGGCAAGUGGAAGGUGAAAUCCCUCGGCUUAACCGAGGAACUGCCCUCCAAACUGCUUGGCUUGAGUCCGGGAGAGGUGAGUGGAAUUCCCAGUGUAGCGGUGGAAUGCGUAGAUAUUGGGAGGAACACCAGUGGCGAAGGCGGCUCACUGGACCGGAACUGACGCUGAGGCGCGAAAGCGUGGGGAGCAAACGGG